CUUCCCAAUAAACUCUCUUGCUUUGUCAACACAUGUGUCUCAUUGGAUAAUUCAUUUCCAAGUGUUAGACAAGAGUCCAUUCUUGGGCCCUGGAAUGGGUCCCCUUUCCUGCAACAGAGGGAAAUAAAAAGCAAUAGCACUGGGAAGAAAAAAAAAAAAUUUAUGUAGCUCACAGACAAGAGGCACGAGCCUACUACAAGACUGAAAUUUAAUCAUAAGUUGGUAGAACACCCAUCUUCCUUCAUACAUCAUGAUCACACAAUCAGGCUCUUGUAUAAUAACAAUGAUUGUAGUUGAAAGAGAUGCAACACACAGAUACUCUCUGAGGAGCAGAACUUAGAGAUAUUCCCUGAAGUCAACAGAGGACAAAACACAAGGACACUAGAGGAAUUUGAAGCUCUGAUAUCUACAACUCAGUAAGGGUUAGGUUGGGCUGUAUUUACAGCCCAAUUUCUAGCCAAAUGAACAUAAAUCCUCACACUAAAAGGUUCUUUAACUGUUUCUAGUAUCUAGUACCAGAGAAGUGCAAAUUAAAACACUAAUGAGAUACCAUACAAGCCUAUUAGAGUGGUUAAAAUCCAACAAACUAAAAACACGCAAUUGCUAGUAGGAUUCAGAACAACAGAAAUUCUCAUUCAUUGCUGGUAUGCAUACAAAAAUGGUACAGCCACUUUGGAAGAUAGGUUCGCAGUUUCUUACGAGGCCAAGCACAAUCUUACCAUACGAUUCAGCAAUUGUGCUCCUAGGUAUUAACUCAACUGAUUUUAAAACUUUUCCCUACACAAAAGCCUGCACCACAAAUGUGUAUAGCAUCUUCAUUCAGAAUUGCCAAAAACAAGAAGCAACCAAGAUGUAGGUUAACAGAUAAGCAAAUUAUGAUACAUCUCAAACAUCUGAAUCCUUUUCAGCAAUAAAAAAGAAUGAGCUAUCAAGUCAUUCAAUGAAGUUGGUGAAUCUUAAAUGCAAAGUGAAAGACAGCCUGAGAAAGCUACAUGCUGUACAAUUCCAUUUGUAUGACAUUCUGGAAAAGGCAAAACUAUGGAGAUAGUAAGCAGAGCUGCAGUUACCAAAGGUUAAGGGGCAAUUAAGUAGGUGACUUUUUUAGAUCAGUAAAACUAUUCUAUACGACACUGUAAUGAUGGAUCCAUAAAACUAUGCGUUUGUCAAAAUCCAUAGCAUAGCACAAAGAGGGAAACUCAAUGCAUGAAAAUAUUUUUAAAAUUAUUUAGAAGGUAAGUAGAUUCCAGGAUAGAAUACAAAAUGUGAAGAAAAAAACCCACAUCUAACUGUAUUGCAAAUGUAUGAAACAACAUCAUUGAAGGAGGUGGAGGGAAAAGGUGCUGACCUAAGUAACUUUGGAAAUAAGUGGAGUCCCUCAAGGUAAAGAUGAAAAGCAUUAUGUAUAAGCCCUGUCUUCUAGCUGAUAAAGUUGUUUCCCACAGGAGUAGGGAUUAAAAAUUCUGAAACCACUAUACAUACAUAUUGAAAUUAAACAAUUAAGUAAAUGGAUGGCAGAUGGUGGGAGCCAGGUUUUUCUCACUGUGGAGUGGGAGGCUACAGAUAAACAAGGAGUAAAAGCUAUAAAAAUCCAUGUGGUGAUGGAGCUGAAUACAUCUUUGCUAACUCAUGUUUUAGCUUGAUAUGGAAACAGAUGAUUCCAUGUAGGCAUAUUUAUAGACAUUUUUAUAUACAUGGGCUGAUUUACACACGUAUGUUUUCUUGCUUUGUUAGCUGAAAAGAUA
ensembl:lncRNA